rnacentral:rRNA from 1 species
AGUGAACGCUGGCGGUAGGCCUAACACAUGCAAGUCGAACGGCAGCACAGUAAGAGCUUGCUCUUACGGGUGGCGAGCUGCGGACGGGUGAGGAAUACAUCGGAAUCUACUUUUUCGUGGGGGAUAACGUAGGGAAACUUACGCUAAUACCGCAUACGACCUACGGGUGAAAGCAGGGGAUCUUCGGACCUUGCGCGAUUGAAUGAGCCGAUGUCGGAUUAGCUAGUUGGCGGGGUAAAGGCCCACCAAGGCGACGAUCCGUAGCUGGUCUGAGAGGAUGAUCAGCCACACUGGAACUGAGACACGGUCCAGACUCCUACGGGAGGCAGCAGUGGGGAAUAUUGGACAAUGGGCGCAAGCCUGAUCCAGCCAUACCGCGUGGGUGAAGAAGGCCUUCGGGUUGUAAAGCCCUUUUGUUGGGAAAGAAAAGCAGCAGGUUAAUACCCCGCUGUUCUGACGGUACCCAAAGAAUAAGCACCGGCUAACUUCGUG